UCCUAACCGGCUGUAUGAAUGGCAUAACGAGGGUUUAACUGUCUCCCUCCCCCAGUCAAUGAAAUUGAUCUGCCCGUGCAGAAGCGGACAUAAACACAUAAGACGAGAAGACCCUAUGGAGCUUUAGACAAAAGAUCAAACAUGUAAAGAAACCAAACCAACCAAAAGGAACACAAAGGCCACAAAACCCAACGUAAAAUGAUCAAAAUGUCUUCGGUUGGGGCGACCAUGGGGGAAAGAAAAGCCCCCACGAGGAACUAAGGGCAAUCCAUUAAGCCAAGAGAUACACCUCUAAGCAACAGAAAAUCUGACCAAAAAUGACCCAGGACACUAAUCCUGAUCAACGAACCAAGUUACCCUAGGGAUAACAGCGCAAUCCUUUCCCAGAGUCCAUAUCGACGAAAGGGUUUACGACCUCGAUGUUGGAUCAGGACAUCCUAAUGGUGCAGCCGCUAUUAAGGGUUCGUUUGUUCAACGA
rnacentral:rRNA from 1 species